rnacentral:lncRNA from 10 species
CUUCAGUGUGUUUUGCAGUGGCUGAUAAUGGUUUUUCCCUUCCAUAUUUAGUGCUUCUUUCAGGAGCUCUUGCAAGGCAGGCCUGGUGGUGACGAUUCCCUCGGCAUUUGCUUGUCUGAAAAGGAUUUUAUUUCUUCCUCAUUUGUGAAGCUUAGUUUGGCUGGGCAUGCAAUUCUGGGUUGGAAAUUAUUUUCUUUAAGAAUGUUGAAUAUUGGCCCCCAAUCUCUUCUGGCUUAAAGGGUUUCUGCUGAGAAGUCCAUUGUUAGUCUGAUGGGCUUCCCUUUGUAGGUGCCCUGGUCUUUCUCUCUUGCUCCCCUUAACAUUAUUUUCCUUAAUCUCGACCUUGGAGAAUCUGAUGAUUAUGUGUCUUGGGGUUGAUCUUCUCAUGGAGUAUUUUACUGGGGUUCUCUGUGUUUCCUGAAUUUGAAUGUUGGCCUGUUUUGUUAGGUUGGGGAAGUUCUCCUGGAUGAUAUCCUGGUAUGUUUUCCAACUUGAUUCCAUUCUCCCUGUCUCUUUCAGGUACCCCAAUCAGUCAUAGGUUUGGUCUUCUUACAUAAUCCCAUAGUUCUUGGAGAUUUAGUUCAUUCCUUUUCAUUAUUUUUUCUCUAAUCAUCUUGUCUGCCUGUCUUAUUUCAGCGAGAUAGUCUUCAAGCUCUGAAAUUCUUCCCUCUGCUUGGUCUAUUUAGUUAUUGAUACAUGCGUUUGCAUUGUGAUGUUCUUGUGUUGUGUUUUUCAGCUCCAUCAGGACAUCGCUUCCUCUCUAAACUGGCUAUUAUGGUAACAGCUCCUGUAAUGUUUUAUCAUGGUUCUUAGCUUCUUCACAUUGGGUUAGAACAUGCAACUUUAGCUCAGCAAAGUUUGUUAUUACCCAUCUUCUGAAGCCCAUUUCUGUCAAUUUGCUCAUUUCAGCCUCUGUCUUUUUCUGUGCCCUUGCUGGAGAGGUAUUUCAGUCAUUUGGAGGAGAAGAAACACUCUGGUUUUUUGGGUUCUCAGCAUUUUUUUGUUGAUUCUUUCUUAUCUUCAUGAGGUUGCCUAGCUUCAAUCUUUGAGGCUGCUGACCUUUGAAUGGGGUUUUUGUGGGGGCUUUUGUGUUGAUGCUGUUGUUGUUGCUGUUUGUUUGUUUUUCUUUUAACAGUCAGGCCCCUCUUCUGUAAGGCUGCUGCUGUUGGCUGGGGUUCCAUUCCAGGCCCUAUUUGCCUGGUCCUUCCCGCACUUGAAGGUGUCACGCAUGGAGGCUGCAGAACAGCACAGAUGGCUGCCUGCUCCUUCCUCUGGGAUCUCUGUCCACACAGAGCACUGACCUGAUGCCAGUGGAAACACUACUGUGUAAGGUUGUACAGAUCUAUGGAAAAGCCAAGCUGCCCUGACAGGGUAGCACAACCUCUCACUGCCUCCCUUGGCUGCCAGUAGGAGCUCCCCUUUCCCUCUGUGGAUCUCAGGCAAAAGAAGAUAAUGCUCUUUCUGGUGACCAAUCACUCAGUUGGAUAACUUGAGUUGACAUAUGGAUACCAUGCCAGAAAAGGACUCUAACUUCAGAAAUCAAAACCAACUGGGACUAUUAGGUGAUGUAACAGCAGUAACUGAGUCUCCUUAAUGACCAAGUAGGGACUGGGAGGCAAGUAUAUUUGGUGGCAAGAUAUAUUGCAUCCAAGCUGAGAACUUAAGAAAACUACCCAUAAUGACAUCACAAUUAUAUGUGUUGCUUCAAUUAUUAGUUUACUCAAUCACCAGUUCCCAGAAGAUAUUAUUGAAAGGGUUACAUUAUUGAAAUGCUAAACAAAGGUGGUACUUGGUACCAUAUGUACUUGAGAAAACAAAAUCUGACUGGUAGGAAAUUUUUAUGCGUGCCAUUCCUCUUUGAACUUGACAUUAGGUCUGUUUGUUACACAAGAAUAUAUCUGAGUCCUGUCUGAGAUAAAGGAUACUACUCUGAAGAUGCAAAGAAUAUGUGGACCUUAAGCUGGCCUUACAAUACUCUUUUCUUGUUUUAACGUAUUGCAAGUCAAAUUUAGCCUGACAUUUUAUCAGAUUGUUUAAUUUCAGGAAUAUGCAUCCAAUCAUUCUGAUGGCUCUUUCUUUAAAAUUCUCCAUGAUUUUUUCUUUUUUUUUUAAAUUAAGUUGGCAGAACAGAGAUCCAACCCUUAUUUUCAGUAAAAUCAAAGCAAUUGCUGAUUAGAAAAAAGGGAAGAAACAUUCAAACCUCAUGAUGAUAGAUGAUAUUACCAACCUUGAGCUUCAUAUAGUUACCCCCUAAGUUCCUUAGCAAUGGAUAGAUUGAAGCAUCCUUUAAAUCCCGUUCCCUUUUCUAGUUUGAGUAAUUGUUACAAUGAGAUUGCCUAGCGUAUUUGUCUCCAGAAGUCACAUGUACCAUAUCUUCAGGCAUCAAAACCUUGGUUUGCAUAUGCAAAAUGUCCCAAAUUUGAUAUAGUUCAGAAUCACAUACAAAAGUUAUGAGGCCCUAGUGUAAAACUUCUGGAAUGGUGGAAUGAAAAUCUUUAUAAAUCAGCUCCUCAUAAAGCAAUUAAAUUUCUGGCAACAUUGUCAAAAUCAAAAUUUUCACAACUCAGGAAAUUAAAAACAAAAUCAAUAGACACUGUCUCAGCAGGCAUCCAGAUGCUGGACUUAGUAUACAAGACUUUACAUUUGACUCUUAUAAAUAUGUUUGAAGAGCUAAGAAAACAUUGCCUAAAAUAUGACAAUGAUGUCUCACCAAAAAGAGAAUCCUGGUUAAGAGACAGAAAUUUGUAAAAGAACCAAAUAUGCAUUCUUGAAAAAUGAGGCAUUACCAAUCUUAUAAAAAUAAAAUGAAUUAUAACAAAAUAAUAUGACACAUCAAAAUCAUCACUAUCCAAAGACAAAUACAAAGAGAGGAUUUUGAAAGCAGCAAAAGUGGAGACUCAUCACAGACAAGAGAUCCUUAAUAUGAUUAGCAGGUAUUUAUAACCAGAAACCAUGAAGGCUGUAAGGAAGUGGGAAAACAUAUUUAAAAUGAAGAAAAAUUUUAAAAAUCAGGAAUUCUCUACUCAGCUAUUAUCCUUGGAAAAUGAAACAAAAUUAUCCUUGGAAAAUGAAACAGAAAUUAAGACAUUCCUGCCACUAACAGAUAUUCCCUACAGGAAAUACUAGUGGGAUCUCAUCAAGCCAACAUGAAAGUAUGCCUGAAUCCAAAUGAUAAAAUUAAGCAUAUCAGUGUGGCAGGCUGAAUAAUAGCCCCUAAAGAUAUCAAUUUCUUAACCCCUAGAACCUGUAAAUGUCGCUCUAUUUGACAAAAGGACUUUGCAAUGUGUUUAAAUAAAGAAUCUUGAGAUGGAAAAAGUAUACUAGAUUACUAGGUAGGCUCUAAUUAUAAUCACAAGUAUUUUUAUAAGAGGCUCUAAUUAUAAUCACAAGUAUUUUAUAAGGAAGACUCGACUACAUAGGCUGAGAAGGCAAUGCGAUGAUGGAAAACAGAUUGGAAUGAUGCGCUACGAAGACAAAGGAAGAGGCCACAAGCCAAGAAAUAGGGUGGGCCACUAGAAGCUGAAAAACUCAAGGAAAAAGAUUCUCACCUCAGAGCCACUAGAAAGAACUGGGCCUGCCAAGAAAUGUACUUUGGCCAGGGAAACUGACUUCAAGCUUCUGAUCUCCAGAAAUGGGAUAGAACAAAUGUAUGUUGUUUUAGGCCACCAACUUUGUGGCAAUUUCUUGCAGGUCAAUAUAGAUAAAUAUAAAGGAGAGUAAGUAUAAAUAUAUAUUUGUAACUCUUCUGUCCGAUUUAAAAGGUAGCUGUAUAAAGCAAUAACUAUAAAAACUCUGUUGGGUUCUACUGUAUAAAAUUGCAAUAUGUAUUACAGAAACAGCACUAAGGAAAUUGAAAGGAAUGGGGCUAUAUGGAAAAAAUUCUGUAUACUACUGAAAUUAAAUUAGUAAUAAAACUAGAUUUUUUUUUGUUAAGAUGCUAAUUGUAAUACCCAAGGCAACGACUAGGAAAAUAACUAAAAUAUACAGAAUUAAAGAAACAACAACAUAAUUAAAAUAGUAAACUAGAACAUACCUAGUUGACAUUCAAAAAUUCAGUAGUGUAGAAAUGGAGAAACAAAAAAGGCAGGACAUAUAGAAAACAAUCGGAAAAUAGAAGACAUGAGUCCUAAUUUAUCAGUAAUUAUAUUAAAUUAUCUCAUUGUUUCUUUUAUUCAUAUUUUUAAUUAUUAUCUUAGUGGCUGCCUUGAAUAUUAUAAUUAGUAUCUAUAUAUCACCACAUGAAGUAAAUCUAAAUUAAUGUUGACUGUACAAAAUACUCUUACUGUCCUAUCAGGUUUAAAAUACACAUAAAAAUAAAAUAUGUCACAAGAACACCACAGGUGAUGGUGAAAUGAAAUAAAAAUAUUUUAGUAUCUCAGUAUUGCCUGAGGUAAUAAAAGAAUAAAGUUUAGGUUUCCACUUGGGGAAACAUAAUGAUAUAAUUUCUGGGGUAUUUUUGAAAGAAAUUUUUUUAAAGUAUAAAUAAUCUGCAAAUAGAAAAGAUAAUGGAUUAGCAAAAAAAAAAUACUUCAUUAAUCUAAUAUGAGACAAGAAAGGAGACAAAAAGGGGAAUAAUGGGACAAAUAAAAAGUAAUAAAUGGUAGAUAUGUAACCAAAUAGAUCGAUGAUUACAUAACAUGUAUACGAACUAUUUUACUAAAAAGAAAAUCAUUAGACUACAUAAAGUAUAAAACUCAACAAUAUGAUGCUUACAAGAGACAUCAUUAAUUAAAAGGCAGAAAUGUUUUGAAAUAAAAUCUAUGGAAAAAGAACAAAACAUACCAUUCAAACACUGACCAAAAGACAAAACCGAUUUCAAGGUAAGAAAUAUUGCUAUAGAUUGAGAGCAAUGUCAUAACAAUAAAAUGAACAAGUCACCAAAAUAAUAUAUCAAUUCUAAAUUGCCACAUACCUCAUAAUAUAUCAAUUCUAAUAUAUCUAAUAUAUUGCCACAAGCCUCAUAACAAGCUUAUAAAUAUUUAAGCAAAAGUUACAACAUUAAAAAGUGACUUUAACAUAUUUCUCUUGGUAAACAUAAAAGCAUUUGCCUCAGUGUAUCAAAGCAACUAUACCAAGAACCAGCGUGAUUGAAAUAUGACAUCAAAAUUAGAGAUAAGGAGCUGAUAAAACUUGCUUAGAUUAUAUGAAAAUAUUGUGAAUACCUUUUAGGUUUAAGUAUAUUUUGCUUUGUUUUAAAGCCUGGAAUAGAGUUCAAGACACAGAGUCACUUAUAUUAGAUGCAGUGAUUUUACAAUCUCCCUGCGGGAGCUUAAUGCCUUGAUCAGCUACUUAUAAACAUGAGUAGAAUAAUCCAGGAAAUUAGUCGUGCUGUUAUUUUCUUAUUUGUAUUACUUUAUAUGAAGACUCAACACAGUACCUGGCAAAUAAAAAUUAUUAAAUAAAUGUUAUUUGCCUAUUUUUAUCUCAUUUACCCUUCACAAUCACACUAAGAUUUCUUAUGUUAAUUUUAAAAAUAAAGAAACUGAGUCACAUGGCAGAAAAUUAGCAAAAGUCACAUAGCUAGUGACCUGAAGCUGAGAUUCAAACCCAGGUUCUCUAACACACACACACACACAAACACUCUUAAUCAUAUGCUCUAUGGCCUCAUAAUUAUUAUUCCAAAAGCCAAAUGCUUAUUUUGUGAUGAUGACCAAGAGGAGAAUAGUUAAUAUACAUUAAAUGUUUAAAAUACUAUGUUUUUUCCUAUACAUACAUAUAUAUGAUAAAGGUUAAUUUAUAAAUUAGGCACAUUAAGAGAUUAACAAUUAACUAUGAUGAUUAUUUGACAUAUAUCUCAUUAUUAUAUCAUAUUAUUAUAAGCAAUAUUAAAUAGUUUCUACUUUUAUCUGUCAAUAGUACCAUUUGUCUCCUAAUCAAAUGACAUACAUAUUAGUAUUCACAUUAUAUAGUACUUUUUCCUCUUGAAGGCACAGAGAUUUCUGACUCGGUUUAAAAUCAUUUUAUCAUGUCUUAAAUCUGUUUAUUCUGAAAUAUUCAAUAUAUAAAUGAAAUAUAUAUGUUAUAAAAUAUAAUAAAAUGGUCAAAUAUGUUUCACCACUGUUAAAUUGAAAUAUGUUUGGCCUAAACCUACCUUCACACAUAUUUUAAGUUUGGCCUAAAGGUUUCUCUGUAGGUAGUGAACUGUGAACUUGAUGUAUAAACAGACUGUAACGCAACAUGAAAGUAUACUCUUCUAACAAAUAGCCAAGUCUCAGCUAAUCAUAGCAGCUAAGCCCCCAGCCAAUCAGAGGCUGAAGGCUAACGAAACAUUACCAUAUAAGACAAAUGCCGACUGUAACCAUUUAGAUUAUUUCUGUAUGUCACUACCUUUUCUCUGGAUAUAAAUAUAGCCUGCACAUGUGGUGGGUGGGAUGGAUCGUUAUAAACCAUUUUUGGUCAGGACUGCUGCCUGAUUCAUGAAUCAUUUCUUUGCUCAAAUAAACUUGGCUAAAUUUAAUUUGUCUAAAGUAUUUUUUUAACAACCACACAGCUUAUAAA